GGAGGAAAGCAGGGGAUCGCAAGACCUUGCGCUUUUGGAGUGGCCGAUGCCUGAUUAGCUAGUUGGUGGGGUAAUGGCCUACCAAGGCGACGAUCAGUAGUUGGUCUGAGAGGACGACCAGCCACACUGGGACUGAGACACGGCCCAGACUCCUACGGGAGGCAGCAGUGGGGAAUUUUGGACAAUGGGCGAAAGCCUGAUCCAGCAAUGCCGCGUGAGUGAAGAAGGCCUUCGGGUUGUAAAGCUCUUUCAGUCGAGAAGAAAAGGUUGUGACUAAUAAUCACAACUCAUGACGGUAUCGACAGAAGAAGCACCGGCUAACUACGUGCCAGCAGCCGCGGUAAUACGUAGGGUGCGAGCGUUAAUCGGAAUUACUGGGCGUAAAGGGUGCGCAGGCGGCUUUGUAAGUCAGAUGUGAAAUCCCCGGGCUUAACCUGGGAAUUGCGUUUGAAACUACAAAGCUAGA
rnacentral:rRNA from 1 species